rnacentral:rRNA from 1 species
UGCGAAUGGCUCAUUAAAUCAGUUAUCGUUUAUUUGAUAGUACCUUACUACUUGGAUAACCGUGGUAAUUCUAGAGCUAAUACAUGCUAAAAACCCCAACUUCGGGAGGGGUGUAUUUAUUAGAUAAAAAACCAAUGCCCUUCGGGGCUCCUUGGUGAUUCAUAAUAACUUCUCAGAUCGCAUGGCCUUGCGCCGGCGACGGUUCAUUCAAAUUUCUGCCCUAUCAACUUUCGAUGGUAAGGUAUUGGCUUACCAUGGUUUCAACGGGUAACGGGGAAUUAGGGUUCGAUUCCGGAGAGGGAGCCUGAGAAACGGCUACCACAUCCAAGGAAGGCAGCAGGCGCGCAAAUUACCCAAUCCCGACACGGGGAGGUAGUGACAAUAAAUACUGAUACAGGGCUCUUUAGGGUCUUGUAAUUGGAAUGAGUACAAUUUAAACCUCUUAACGAGGAACAAUUGGAGGGCAAGUCUGGUGCCAGCAGCCGCGGUAAUUCCAGCUCCAAUAGCGUAUAUUAAAGUUGUUGCAGUUAAAAAGCUCGUAGUUGAACCUUUGGCCUGGCUGGCGGGUCCGCCUCACCGCGUGCACUCGUCCGGCCGGGCCUUUUCUUCUGGAGAACCGCAUGCCCUUCACUGGGUGUGUUGGGGACCAGGACUUUUACUUUGAAAAAAUUAGAGUGUUCAAAGCAGGCCUUUGCUCGAAUACGUUAGCAUGGAAUAAUAGAAUAGGACGUGCGGUCCUAUUUUGUUGGUUUCUAGGACCGCCGUAAUGAUUAAUAGGGACAGUCGGGGGCAUCAGUAUUCAAUUGUCAGAGGUGAAAUUCUUGGAUUUAUUGAAGACUAACUACUGCGAAAGCAUUUGCCAAGGAUGUUUUCAUUAAUCAGUGAACGAAAGUUAGGGGAUCGAAGACGAUCAGAUACCGUCGUAGUCUUAACCAUAAACUAUGCCGACUAGGGAUCGGGCGGUGUUACUAUUUUGACCCGCUCGGCACCUU